rnacentral:rRNA from 1 species
CCGGCACGGGUGAGUAACGCGUAUGCAACUUGCCUAUCAGAGGGGAUAACCCGGCGAAAGUCGGACUAAUACCGCAUGAAGCAGGGGCCCCGCAUGGGGAUAUUUGCUAAAGAUUCAUCGCUGAUAGAUAGGCAUGCGUUCCAUUAGGCAGUUGGCGGGGUAACGGCCCACCAAACCGACGAUGGAUAGGGGUUCUGAGAGGAAGGUCCCCCACAUUGGUACUGAGACACGGACCAA